rnacentral:rRNA from 1 species
GGCGGCGUGCUUAACACAUGCAAGUCAAGGGGGCCCAGCAAUGGGCAACCGGCGAACGGGUGCGUAACACGUGAGCAACCUACCGAACUGUGGGGGAUAGCCGGCCUAACGGCCGAGUAAUACCGCAUACGCUUUCAGUGAGGCAUUUCAUUGAAAGGAAACCUACGGGACAGAUCGAGGGGCUCGCGGCCUAUCAGCUAGUUGGCGAGGUAACGGCUCACCAAGGCAACGACGGGUAGCUGGUCUGAGAGGAUGGCCAGCCACAUUGGGACUGAGAUACGGCCCAGACUCCUACGGGAGGCAGCAGUGGGGAAUCUUGCGCAAUGGCCUAACGGCUGACGCAGCGACGCCGCGUGUGGGAUGAAGCUCUUCGGAGUGUAAACCACUGUUGCCCGGGACGAACAGCUCGAUUAAUCGAGCCUGACGGUACCGGGUGAGGAAGCACCGGCUAACUCCGUGCCAGCAGCCGCGGUAAUACGGGGGGUGCGAGCGUUGUCCGGAAUCACUGGGCGUAAAGGGCGCGUAGGUGGUUUGA